rnacentral:misc_RNA from 1 species
GCUUCUAUGACCCAACAGUAACCGUACCAUUUCCUCUUCCCAGCUAGGGUUUACAGUUUCUCAGUAGGGUUUAAGGUUUGAAGGCAAACACAGAAUCUUUGAUUUUCAUCUGAAAGAAAUGGUUAAUUCAAUUGCUACUCUAACACGCAGGCUCUCUCGUUCCCUUCUCUCUAACCCUAAAUUCUCUCAGAUUUCCAUGCCCUUUUGCACUGAUAACCUCUCCUCUAUCGAGGACUCUGCUUUGGAAGACUCCAAUCCCAAUUCGGACACUGAUACGAUGCCGAGUUCAACCUCACAAUCAUCAUUUUCCUCAUCAACAGCAGCAGCUGCUUCGCCAGGGUCGACUGAGGAGCGAGUGGUCUAUGAUCGGAAGCUUGAGAAUGGCCUCGAUUUGGGCAUUUACAGGGCAAUAUUGGUGGGGCAGGUGGGACAGAUUCCAUUGCAGAAGAAGUUAAAAAGUGGGAGGAUUGUGACAUUGUUCUCGCUUGGAACAGGUGGGAUUCGCAAUAAUAGGAGGCCAUUGCAGAAUGAGGAGCCAAGGGAGUUUGCAAAUCGGAGUAAUGUUCAAUGGCAUCGGGUUUCAGUUUACCCUUUAAGAUUGGGGGCUCUUGUCAUGAAGAAUAUUUUACCAGGUUCAAUUAUUUACCUGGAGGGGAAUCUGGAGACCAAGAUGUUCAAUGAUCCAAUUACUGGUCUUGUCCGGCGUGUAAGAGAGGUUGCUAUUCGUCGAGAUGGUCGGAUUGUGUUUUUGGGAAAAGGUGGUGAUGACCAGCAAGAAGGUGCAAAAGAAUUGAGAAGUGUUGGCUAUUUCUAGGAGCAUAACUUGAAAAGAUUCGG